AGUUUCAGUGGAGCCGUCCUUGAAAUACCACCCUGGUGUGUUUGAGGUUCUAACCUGGGUCCAUCAUCUGGAUCGGGGACCGUGCAUGGUAGGCAGUUUGACUGGGGCGGUCUCCUCCCAAAGUGUAACGGAGGAGUUCGAAGGUUACCUAGGUACGGUCGGACAUCGUACUGAUAGUGCAAUGGCAAAAGGUAGCUUGACUGCGAGACCGACAAGUCGAGCAGGUGCGAAAGCAGGACAUAGUGAUCCGGUGGUUCUGAAUGGAAGGGCCAUCGCUCAACGGAUAAAAGGUACUCCGGGGAUAACAGGCUGAUUCCGCCCAAGAGUUCAUAUCGACGGCGGAGUUUGGCACCUCGAUGUCGGCUCAUCACAUCCUGGGGCUGUAGCCGGUCCCAAGGGUAUGGCUGUUCGCCAUUUAAAGUGGUACGUGAGCUGGGUUUAAAACGUCGUGAGACAGUUUGGUCCCUAUCUGCAGUGGGCGUUGGAAGUUUGAGGGGGGCUGCUCCUAGUACGAGAGGACCGGAGUGGACGCAUCUCUGGUGUACCGGUUGUGACGCCAGUCGCAUCGCCGGGUAGCUAUAUGCGGAAGAGAUAAACGCUGAAAGCAUCUAAGCGUGAAACUCGCCUCAAGAUGAGACUUCCCUGGAGACUUGAUCUCCCUGAAGGGCCGUGGAAGACCACCACGUUGAUAGGUCGGGUGUGGAAGCGCAGUAAUGCGUUAAGCUAACCGAUACUAAUUACCCGUGAGGCUUGAUCCU
rnacentral:rRNA from 1 species